rnacentral:tRNA from 1 species
GCCUCUUUAGCUCAGUUGGUAGAGCACGUGAUUUGUAAUCUCGGGGUCGUUGGUUCGAGUCCGACAAGAGGCUCUC